GCAUAAUACAAAAGGAGGAAAGUUUAGCACUUCACUUGAUAAGGAUGGAAUGGAUGACCUAUUUAGCUUUUAUACACACACACACACACAUGCACACACAUAUAAUAUACAUGUAUAUAUACAUGUGUGU